GUCACUCAUCGAUUGUGCUCACAUUGUGUCCUGAACUCUGCCUUCCGUCCUCUCCCCUGCAGGUAAAACCAAUGGAAUUUCUUGACUGAUGGCAUGUGGAAAAUGAGAGAAAGAGAGGAGUCAUGGAUAGCUACAUGUUUUUUGGCAGAACAGCUGGAAGAAUGAUGGAGAAAGAAGAGGAG